rnacentral:rRNA from 1 species
AUGGACCCCGCGGCCUUCGCUUCCCCUUCGUUCGACGCCUGCGUCCAAGGCAGCAGCUUCCAGCCGCUCAACCCAGAAGACGUGCGCGCAUACCUCUACAAGGCUGCCGACUUCAUCAUGGAUUACUACACCAGCGUUGAGUCCAUGCCGGUUCUCCCCGACGUGAAACCCGGCUACCUACGGGACGAGCUGAGGGCGUCCCCGCCAGAACACUCGGCUCCCUUCGACGUCACCAUGAAGGAGCUGAGGACAUCGGUCGUCCGCGGGAUGACGCACUGGGCUAGCCCCAGUUUCUUCGCGUUUUUCCCGUCCACCAACAGCGCCGCAGCCAUCGCGGGGGAGCUGAUCGCUUCGGCCAUGAACACCGUAGGGUUCACGUGGCAGGCGGCUCCCGCGGCCACCGAGAUGGAGGUGCUCGUGCUCGACUGGCUCGCCCAGCUCCUGCGCCUGCCAACCAGCUUCAUGAACCGCACCAGCGUGGGGCGUGGCACCGGAGGCGGUGUCAUCCUGGGGACCACUAGCGAAGCCAUGCUCGUCACGCUUGUUGCUGCGCGUGACGCGGCGCUGCGGCGGAUUGCCUCCAAUGGCAUGUCCUACAUCACAAGGCUCACGGUGUACGCUACCGGCCAGACACACUCCACAUUCUUCAAGGCAUGCCGCCUUGCCGGCUUCGACCCUGCCAACCUCCGAUCCAUUCCCACCGAGCCGGAGACAGACUACGGGCUCGACCCGGCGAAGUUGCUCGAGAUCAUGCAGGUUGACUUCGAUGCUGGUCUCGUGCCAACGUACAUCUGCGCCACUGUCGGCACCACAUCAUCCAACGCCGUGGACCCAGUGAGCACAGUGGCCUCUGUCGCGGCCAUGUUUAAUGCAUGGGUCCAUGUCGAUGCUGCUUACGCUGGCAGCGCAUGCAUCUGUCCGGAGUUUCGGCACCACAUCGACGGUGUUGAGCGCGUGGACUCCAUCAGCAUGAGCCCGCACAAGUGGCUGCUCACCUGCCUUGACUGCACCUGCUUGUGGGUGCGCGACACGAACCGCCUCACGGACGCGCUGCAGACGAACCCGGAGUACCUCAAGAAUGACGCUACUGAGUCCGGCGAGGUCAUUGAUCUCAAGGAUAUGCAAGUUGGCGUCGGCCGCCGCUUCCGAGGGCUCAAGCUUUGGAUGGUGAUGCGCACAUAUGGCACCGCCAAGCUUCAGCAGCACAUCCGAAGCGAUGUCGCGAUGGCCAAGGCGUUCGAGGACCUUGUACGUGCCGAUGACCGGUUUGAGAUUGUAGUGCCGAGAAACUUCGCCCUCGUAUGCUUCAGGAUCAGAGCAAGAGGAACCAUGACGGAGGAAGCCACCGAUGAGGUGAACCGUGUGCUGAUUAACCGGCUCAACAUCUCCAGGAAGGCCUACCUAGCACACACCGUGGUUGGCAACAGAUUCGUUCUACGGUUCGCGGUGGGGUCGUCGCUGCAGGAGGAUCGGCACGUGAGAAGCGCCUGGGAGCUCAUAAAGAAAACAACCGCCAAGAUCAUCGAUGGGGAGGAGAUCGUGCAAUAA